GACGGUCAGAGAUCAAUAACGCUCCGCGAUUGUAAGGAUUUCCCUGUAUGUGUUAAGCACCUGGCUAGAAUUGGAACAAGAAGUACCAGUAGAGGGCCCCGCUCCCAUCCUGCCCCAGGGGUUCCACCCGCAGGCUGUCAGCGUCCAGGCCCUGGAGGAGGGGAGAGGAGAGAUCAACACCCAGGGCUACGGGAUGCACCUCACCUGACGACACGAACCGCCCCAAUCAAGCACCAAAUAAUAACUACAGAGGCGUCAUUACUGACUGCAGCCCCUCUCCAGAGGAUCCCCGGAGAGUUCAAAGGUCGACCUCCACUCCUCCUGGCCUCAGAGGGAGACGGAAGCCAGGAGCCAACGAGUCAGCAUGAUGAGAAACAGCAGAAGGGACCAAACAACCCGUUGAAAAGCAGGAUACGACAAAUGGUUUGGUAAUAUGGUUGUAAAAUA